rnacentral:rRNA from 1 species
AAAGGCGGCUCGAUCCGCUGAUAUGGGAUCCGUGCAUGAGAGUGUGCGGCGCACCAUAGCCCCGUCCCGAAGGCUUGCCUUGGGGCGGAGGUUGAGCGCAUAUGCUGGGACCCGAAAGAUGGUGAACUAUGCCUGAGCAGGAUGAAGCCAGAGGAAACUCUGGUGGAAGUCCGAAGCGGUUCUGACGUGCAAAUCGAUCGUCUGACUUGGGUAUAGGGGCGAAAGACUAAUCGAACCAUCUAGUAGCUGGUUCCUUCCGAAGUUUCCCCCAGGAUAGCUGGAGCUCGUAAAUGCAGUUAUAUUCGGUAAAGCGAAUGAUUAGAGGAAUUGGGGACGAAACGACCUCAACCUAUUCUCAAACUUUCAAUGGGUAUGAAGUCGCGGUUGCUUA